rnacentral:rRNA from 1 species
GAUGAACGCUGGCGGCGUGCCUAAUACAUGCAAGUCGAGCGAAUGGAUUAAGAGCUUGCUCUUAUGAAGUUAGCGGCGGACGGGUGAGUAACACGUGGGUAACCUGCCCAUAAGACUGGGAUAACUCCGGGAAACCGGGGCUAAUACCGGAUAACAUUUUGAACCGCAUGGUUCGAAAUUGAAAGGCGGCUUCGGCUGUCACUUAUGGAUGGACCCGCGUCGCAUAGCUAGUUGGUGAGGUAACGGCUCACCAAGGCAACGAUGCGUAGCCGACCUGAGAGGGUGAUCGGCCACACUGGGACUGAGACACGGCCCAGACUCCUACGGGAGGCAGCAGUAGGGAAUCUUCUGCAAUGGACGAAAGUCUGACGGAGCAACGCCGCGUGAGUGACGAAGGCUUUCGGGUCGUAAAACUCUGUUGUUAGGGAAGAACAAGUGCUAGUUGAAUAAGCUGGCACCUUGACGGUACCUAACCAGAAAGCCACGGCUAACUACGUGCCAGCCGCCGCCGUAA